AUGCUUAGGAAUCUGCCUAUUAGUGGGGGACAACGUUCCGAAAGGGACGCUAAUACCGCAUACGUCCUACGGGAGAAAGCAGGGGAUCUUCGGACCUUGCGCUAAUAGAUGAGCCUAAGUCGGAUUAGCUAGUUGGUGGGGUAAAGGCCUACCAAGGCGACGAUCUGUAGCGGGUCUGAGAGGAUGAUCCGCCACACUGGGACUGAGACACGGCCCAGACUCCUACGGGAGGCAGCAGUGGGGAAUAUUGGACAAUGGAGGCAACUCUGAUCCAGCCAUGCCGCGUGUGUGAAGAAGGCCUUUUGGUUGUAAAGCACUUUAAGCGAGGAGGAGGCUUACCUGGUUAAUACCCGGGAUAAGUGGACGUUACUCGCAGAAUAAGCACCGGCUAACUCUGUGCCAGCAGCCGCGGUAAUACAGAGGGUGCAAGCGUUAAUCGGAUUUACUGGGCGUAAAGCGCGCGUAGGUGGCUAAUUAAGUCAAAUGUGAAAUCCCCGAGCUUAACUUGGGAAUUGCAUUCGAUACUGGUUAGCUAGAGUAUGGGAGAGGAUGGUAGAAUUCCAGGUGUAGCGGUGAAAUGCGUAGAGAUCUGGAGGAAUACCGAUGGCGAAGGCAGCCAUCUGGCCUAAUACUGACACUGAGGUGCGAAAGCAUGGGGAGCAAACAGGAUUAGAUACCCUGGUAGUCCAUGCCGUAAACGAUGUCUACUAGCCGUUGGGGCCCUUGAGGCUUUAGUGGCGCAGCUAACGCGAUAAGUAGACCGCCUGGGGAGUACGGUCGCAAGACUAAAACUCAAAUGAAUUGACGGGGGCCCGCACAAGCGGUGGAGCAUGUGGUUUAAUUCGAUGCAACGCGAAGAACCUUACCUGGCCUUGACAUACAGAGAACUUUCCAGAGAUGGAUUGGUGCCUUCGGGAACUCUGAUACAGGUGCUGCAUGGCUGUCGUCAGCUCGUGUCGUGAGAUGUUGGGUUAAGUCCCGCAACGAGCGCAACCCUUUUCCUUAUUUGCCAGCACUUCGGGUGGGAACUUUAAGGAUACUGCCAGUGACAAACUGGAGGAAGGCGGGGACGACGUCAAGUCAUCAUGGCCCUUACGGCCAGGGCUACACACGUGCUACAAUGGUCGGUACAAAGGGUUGCUACUGCGCGAGCAGAUGCUAAUCUCAAAAAGCCGAUCGUAGUCCGGAUCGCAGUCUGCAACUCGACUGCGUGAAGUCGGAAUCGCUAGUAAUCGCGGAUCAGAAUGCCGCGGUGAAUACGUUCCCGGGCCUUGUACACACCGCCC
rnacentral:rRNA from 1 species